UCCUCUUCUUCCUUCACGGAAUAGGGGAUCCUUUGAUCCCCCUCCCUGUCGGCAACGCUAGUGACUAGAGGGGAAGGCCCCAGCGAUGAUCGGCGACAUAGAUCCGAUGACUGGUGGUGGCAAAAAUGUGUCGAAAAAAUUAAGAAUAAGAUGUAGAAAAAUAGGAAAAUUCAGUAGCUUCAAUUUUUGAGAAGAAAUCUGAUAAGAGAUUAGCUAAAAUACGAGAUUUAGAAAAUCCAAAAGAAGAAGAAGAGAGCAAGUCAAAGAUUGAUGAGUUCUUAUCUGAUUUUGAAGAGCAUUGGUCUGAUUUCCGAUGGCCAAAUCUACUUCAAACUGAAGGUACUUUAAGAAGAAAUCAGGGAGAAAGAAUAGUAAUCUUUGGUGAUUUUUCAGUGAUGAUGAAUCAUAGGGGCUGAAAUCCUUAAAUAGAUCUCUAAAAGAAGAGUUUCAAUUCGAUUUCAAUUAAAUUUUUAAGUGGUUUUUAGAUUCUCAACCGAUGAAGGAGUUCUUCCAUGUUUUCUUUAGUUUCCACUGAAUUUUCAACUUUCCACGUAUGUCCAGAACAUGCAUUCUAAAGAAAGAGUUUCAAUUCGAUUUUAAUUAUAUUUUUAAGUGAUUUUUAAACUCUCAAUCGAUGAAGGAGUUCUCCCAUGUUUUCUUUAGUUCCAACUGAAUUUUCAACUUCCUAUGUAUGUCCAGCACGUGCAACGCACGUGCUGGUUAUUUCUUUUUUUUUUUCCUUCUUCUUCACGGGACAGAGGGACCCGCACGGUCCUCUUUCUCCUUUUCACGAAACAGGGAACUCCUUAUUUCCUUCAUCCCAAUGCCAAGGAGGUCCACCUCCUGGUCGGCAACGCUCGUGGCCGGAGGAGUACACCAUGGUGGCAACCGGCGAUCCCAAUCCGGCGAUCAGCGAUGGCAACCGACGAUAGAAAAAUUAAAAAUGAAGCGGAAAAAAAUAGAAAACCAAAACUCAGCUUUUCGAGCAAAAAUCUGGAGAGAAACCGACCGAUAUUCAGAACUUAGGGCAUAUAGAAGAAGGAGAGAUGAUAAGUCAUAUAAAUGCUAGGUUCUUACCUAAUUUUUUUGACAAUCUGUGGCACUGAUUUCCCACGGCUUCAGUGUUGGUGGCGGCCAACGAUUGGGAAGAAAUAUGGAGACUUCGGCUGCUUGAUGGGCUUAGGAUCACCGAUAAAGAGAAUUAGAGGAAGGUAAGGGCUUUAAAUAGUGCUAGGAUGAUGUUGGAUUUUAGCUUAAAUUCUUUUUCCAUGAAGAAGAGAAGAAGAGUCUUAUUCGGAUUUGCCUCCCUCCCAUCCAUCGUAUUUUUAGCACAUAUGCAGCGCGUGCUGGUUCUUCUUCUUCUUCUUCUUCUUUUUGUCAACCGGGUUCUGGAUAUUACACGACCUCUAUUUGGACUCCUAGAUAUCUGAUGCCUCAAGGAGGCCGGUGUCAGCGCCACCUAUGUAUGCUUU
rnacentral:lncRNA from 1 species